UGCCUGUCCCUGAUGAAGAAGCUUUGUGUGCCGUGGUGCUGGCUACUGCCUUCUAAGAUAAAUCACUUCUUGAGACACAGCAGCUGAGGAGAGACUUGUAACUCUAGCUUGCAGAUGAAGAACAGUCUCCCAUAGGCAGAUGGUGUUUCAAAAGAGGAUACGCCAAUACUGUGACACACACCUGUUUCAACGAAGCCAGU